ensembl:lncRNA novel transcript, sense intronic to GALK2
AUGAGAUUUGUUUCCAUUGUGUUCCUGAGGGCAACUCAUUUUACUCCAGGAGAGAAAUGUAAUAGUGAUGUAGGUUGUAUUCAAACAGUAACUAACUGAAUGGCCAAUUUAUCCACUGGAAUUUCCUGCUUUCAACUUAUUGUUCUGGCAACCUGUAGUCUGAAAGACAGCAUUGUCUUCAGGCAUCACAUGAUAUCCAUGAGAUCUGAUCAUACUACACAAAUUACCCUGCAUUCAGGAAUCUCCUACAUGAUAUUGCUGGAAUAAGUGUCCAUAUGAACUACAGUUUUGCUGAUAUGAAUUAAUUCUGCAUGGUAUUAUUUAAAAAUAAAACAUCCUUAGGCUGAAUCCAGGUUACUUUCAAAUUUUGGCUUUGAGAUUUCAUUCUGCAUAGUAAUAUUUUUUAUCAUUUAAUAAACAUUCAACAUUAACACAUUAGUCCUCAAAUCUAAAAGGAAAGUAGUGGAAGCCUCAUUUUAAAUAAUUGAAGCAGCGAAAACUAAACCUUAUGAAAUCUCAUAUUGAUGAAUGUUUCAGCAUGACUUAAAAAUAUGAUUGUACAAAGAAUAUUAUAGAAGCAUUAAUGUAAUCAAAAGAAAGAAAAUUAUCAUAAUCCCAUUCUCCAAAAAAUAAAAAUUAUUUUCAUU